rnacentral:lncRNA from 1 species
UGCGCAUGCGUGGCCAGCGAGGUCCAGGGGCGCAGUGGGGGGAGCCCCCGGGUGGACAUCGGCCCCUUGCCUACGCAGGGCCGCCGCGAGGAUUUUCGGAGGGUCCGCCGCCGGGUCUGGGGAACCCAGCCUUCCAUGCCAAUCUACCGCUAGCUGGAGCUGCCCCAGCCCCGCUGGUCAGGGACCCUGGGUGAGGGCCAGCUUUCCGGUUAGCAUCACCUGGGGGGAGCAGGAGCGAGAGUAGGCCUCAAAAAUGACGUAAAAAGGCGCAGGCGACUCCUGUGUGCACUGUUGGGAGAGCUGUGAUUUAUCUAUCUAUCAGUGGGCUUUCCCUGCUCUCUGGCUGGUUCUGAGGGCUGGACCUCGCUCCCCGCCACUGCCACCCCCACCCCCCAGGAUUCAGUGGUCUCCUGCUGCUAUCAGAAGUGGCAUCUCAGGCCUGCCACUUGCUUUUGGAGUUGGGUGCAGAAGUGUCCUGACUCUCAGCCCCUUGGAAGGCCCAGGUGAUUCCUGUGCCCCACAAGACUGAGAGGCGCUGCUUCAAGAGAUUACAGCUGAAUAGAAAAAGAAAAGUCGGAAAAUGAUAGCAGUGAAAUGUAAGAGAAAAGUGGGGAAAAAGUAGUUCAGGAGGAGCACAGAGCCCUUGCUUCCCAUUUGUGUACACCUCUGCUCUGUGGGUACACCCCAUCUCUUCCAGCUGCCAACACACACACACACACACACACACACACACACACACACACACACGAGACAGAUGAAGAGAGGCAGAGAAAGAGAGAAAGCACUCCAUUUACCCUCACGUGUUUAGUUUUCUUUAGAAGAUGCUGUUCAAAAAUCUGCUCAGGUGAAUCUCGACGCCAAAGUGGCACCUUCACUACUGACUUCUCUCCCAGUGACUCUUUUGUCAGCUGUCGUGUCGCUGGAUUUUCACUUUAGGACCUGAACGCAGAACUUACUUACUUCCUACUGUAGAUGGCACUUUUCUCUGAGGACUCAUGCCUCACUCAUUUCUGGAACAAUUUAUGCCGAGGAUCAAGACCAUCUCUCCAGGGCUGUUUCUUUGCCUGAAGAUAAGAGGACACAAGUGGGUGACCUUCACAUUUUUUUCUCUAUGGAAUUGCCUGGUGUAGACAGAAAAACCCAACUGCAAAAACCUAACAAAGCACACAGAAGCUGUUACGACGUUGGAGGAUGAGCUGGGUGAAAAUUAGAUUAUGACCUGGAGCUCUGACUGUAGAAUUGAUUACUAUAAGGUGUUAUAAAACAGCAUUUUUAGGAGAUGAAUAAAACUUUGUAAAGUACUACUGUCAAAUGAUUUAGCAAAAGCAUGUAUUCUCAGGAUGUUAAAAUUGCUGAAAUUGCAAAGCCUGCUCACUAGGUGGGGAUCCAUGCCUGGUCCUGAAGGCUUACUGCUUGUGGCUGGAGAGGACACAGACCCCAGCUGAGAACCUUCUGUUGUUUUCCGAAACCAAUGUAAUUCCUAGCUAUAUUGCAACUACGUACAACCCUAUAUGUGUAGCUAUCACUGCCCAUCAAAGACAGCUCUCUCUGUAGCAGAGAGAAGCUAUUUCAGAGACCCCCAGCUGGUCACAGUGCAGAAGGUAAUUGAGUGUGGGGUUCUCAGCCCCAGCUGGUCCAUCUACACUGUGAGAUCCCUAUGUGAGGCUCAGCCCCAGCUGGUCCAUCUACACUGUGAGAUCCCUAUGUGAGGCUCAGCCCCAGCUGGUCCAUCUACACUGCGAUCCCUGUGUGAGGCUCAGUGAGCAUCAUGGAAGAAGGUGCAGGAUGAUUGUUAGAAUCAGAGGACCUGGACACCUGCUGCUAGACAGUGUCUCCUGGACAUGGCAUGGAUACAGCCCCAUGAAAUCUCACCUACCUGGCUGUCUAAACAAGACCUACCCCAAGACCAACGUGCCGAGGUGGAUGGAGGAAGUUUCACAAGGUACCACUCCUGAAGUGCUACAAGCUAGCAGUGUCUGCUGAGAGAAAGAAUCCAUUUUCUCUGUGACAGGUCCCCGAUACCCAAUCCCAAGUGGUCAAUACACUCUGUAGGUCAUGUGUAGGUGUGAAUGUGUAUGUAUGCAUGUAUAAAACAACAGUUCUAGAGGAGAUUAUGCACUUUGGAGUCAUAGAUACAGGAGGAGCUGGAGAGGGAAGAAGGAGGCAUGGGAAUGAGGUAAAUACAUUUUUAUGUAUGAAGUUCUCAAAAAUUAAAUUUAAAAACUGUCGAAAUUAAAUGAAUGUCCCACUGGAAUUUAGUACUUUU